GCUUGCUACUCUGUGUGUGUGCGGACCAGCCCCCAGGCUUAUGAUUUGACUUCAUUACAGUGUUUCAAUCUGCCUAAUAAACCAGAAUAUUAAGGAUCCCGAGUUGGACAUUUGUAGCCAACACUGGAAUGCUGGAAGAGGGCCACAUGCUGAAAAGGCCUUU